rnacentral:rRNA from 1 species
GGCAGAGGGUGCAAGCGUUGUUCGGAAUUACUGGGCGUAAAGGGCGCGUAGGCGGUUGGAUAAGUCAGCUGUGAAAACCACGGGCUUAACUCGUGGCCUGCAGUUGAGACUGUCUGGCUUGAGUGUGGGAGAGGAGAGUGGAAUUCCUGGUGUAGCGGUGAAAUGCGUAGAUAUCAGGAGGAACACCGGUGGCGAAGGCGGCUCUCUGGGCCACAACUGACGCUGAGGCGCGAAAGCUAGGGGAGCAAACAGG